rnacentral:rRNA from 1 species
AUGCAGUCCACGGUACCUUCGGGUAUAGUGGCGGACGGGUGAGUAACGCGUGAGAAUCUGUCUUCAGGUCGGGGACAACAGUUAGAAAUGACUGCUAAUACCGGAUAUGCCUUGUUGGGGUGAAAGAUUAAUUGCCUGAAAAUGAGCUCGCGUCAGAUUAGCUAGUAGGUGGAGUAAGAGACUACCUAGGCAUCGAUCUGUAGCUGGUCUGAGAGGACGAUCAGCCACACUGAGAACUGAGACACGGUCCAGACUCCUACGGGAGGCAGCCGCUGGGGAAUUUUCCGCAAUGGGCGAAAGCCUGACGGAGCCAAUACCUCGCGAGGGACGAAGGCUUGUGGGACGAAAACCUCUUUUCUCAAGGAAGAUUUCAGACGGUACUUGAGGAAUAAGCAUCGGCUAACUCCGUGCCAGCAGCCGCGAAAAUACGGAGGAUGCAAGCGUUAUCCGGAAUGAUUGGGCGUAAAGCGUCCGCAGGUGGCUUUAUAAGUCUGCUGUAAAAGCGUUAGGCUUAACCUAAUUACGGCGGUGAAAACUAUAAGGUUAGAGCAUGUUAGGGCUAGAGGGAAUUCCCACUGUAGCGCUGAAAUGCGUAGAGAUUGGGAAGAACACCGGUGGCAAAGGCGCUCUGCUAGGACAAUCCUGACACUGAAGGACGAAAGCUAGGGCAGCGAAUGACAUUAGAUACCCCAGUAGUCCUAACCGUACACGAUGAAUACUACGCGUAGCCCGUAUCGACCCGGGCAUUGACGAAGCUAACGCGUUAACUAUCCCGCCAGGGAGUACGCACCCCAGUGUGAGACUCACCGGAAUAGACCGGCGCCAGCACAAACAGUCGAAGAAGUUGACUAAUUCCAUCCCACGCGGAGAACCUUGCCGGGACUUGCCAUGCCACGAACCCUAGCUAAAGCAGGUGGUGCCUUCCGGAGCAAGCACCCAGGUGGUGCAUGGCUGUCGUCAGCUCGUGUCGUGAGAUGUUGGGUUAAGUCCCGCAACGAGCGCAACCCUCGUUUUUAGUUGCCAUCAUUAAGUUGGGCACUCUAGAGAGACUGCCGGUGACAAACCGGAGGAAGGUGGGGAUGACGUCAAGUCAGCAUGCCCCUUACGUCCUGGGCUACACACGUACUACAAUGCGACGAACAAAGGGCAGCUAGUUAGCAAUAACAUGCAAAUCUCAGAAAUCGUCGCUCAGUUCAGAUUGAAGGCUGCAACUCGCCUUCAUGAAGUCGGAAUCGCUAGUAAUUGCAGGUCAGCAUACUGCAGUGAAUUCGUUCCCGGGCCUUGUACACACCGCCCGUCACACCAUGGAAGCUGGUCACGCCCGAAGUAGUUAUCCUAACAGUUCGCUGGGGGAGACUCCGAAGGUAGGGCUGGUGACUGGGGUGAAGUCGUAACAAGGUAGCCGUACCGGAAGGUGUGGCUGGAUCACCUCCUUUUUAGGGAGACCUACCCAUUUUAGAUUGUGAAUUUUUGAAAAUCGAUUGUGAGAAUUAAUCUCAAAUCGAUUGAAAAAAAUCUAAAAUUGUGUCAUUCCUAGGUCGGUUGUUAAUGCGAUGUGGCUAUCAAACUAUAUUUAUGGUUCGAUUAUGGGCUAUUAGCUCAGGUGGUUAGAGCGCACCCCUGAUAAGGGUGAGGUCCCUGGUUCAAGUCCAGGAUGGCCCACAUUGUCAUUUGGGGGUUUAGCUCAGUUGGUAGAGCGCCUGCUUUGCAAGCAGGAUGUCAGCGGUUCGAGUCCGCUAACCUCCACAUUUGAAAAACUAGAAUUAACAUUUUUGAAAAAGCAUGCUAGUAUAGUUGUAUUGGAAAGUUCAGCAACUGAAGUUAGUAAUCUAACUGAGCCUGCUGGAUGAAUAUCCAGUUAUUGAACCUUGAAAACUGCAUAGUGACGCAAAUUGUAGGCAGCAAGUGAAAUCGUAACAAUUACUUCAGUAAUUACUAAAGUAAUUGAAACUAAACCACUCGUUGACUUACAGAUAAUCCUUUGAAUUGAAUGA